rnacentral:rRNA from 1 species
GAUGAACGCUGGCGGCGUGCUUAACACAUGCAAGUCGAACGGAGUGCUCAUGACGGAGGAUUCGUCCAACGGAUUGAGUUACUUAGUGGCGGACGGGUGAGUAACGCGUGAGGAACCUGCCUCGGAGUGGGGAAUAACAGACCGAAAGGCCUGCUAAUACCGCAUGAUACAGUUGGGUCGCAUGACUCUGACUGUCAAAGAUUUAUCGCUCUGAGAUGGCCUCGCGUCUGAUUAGCUAGUUGGUGGGGUAACGGCCUACCAAGGCGACGAUCAGUAGCCGGGCUGAGAGGCUCUGCGGCCACAUUGGGACUGAGAUACGGCCCAG